rnacentral:rRNA from 1 species
ACCCGCUCGGUGAAUAUAUUUUAACAGCCGCGGUACUCUGACCGUGCAAAGGUAGCAUAAUCAUUUGCCUUAUAAUUGAAGGCUAGUAUGAAUGGUUUGACGAGAAUUAAGCUGUCUCUUUUUAACUAAAUAUAACUUUAUUAAGAGGUGAAGAAGCCUGUAUUUUAUUGAAAGACAAGAAGACCCUAUCGAGCUUUAAAGAAUUUAGUAGAUUUACCAUAUAUUAAUAAAAAAGUAAAGCAACUAAAUAUUUUGGUUGGGGCGACUGAGGAACAAACAAAGCUUCCUUUAUGCUAAUUAAAACUUACAAGUAUUGAUCCAAUUUAUUUGAUUAAAGAAAUUAGUUACCGUAGGGAUAACAGCAUAAUCUCCUUUGAGAGUUCUCAUCGAAAAGGGGGUUUGUGACCUCGAUGUUGGACCAGAAUACCCAGAAGAUGCAGCCGUCUUCAAUGGUUGGUCUGUUCGACCAUUAAAAUUCUACGUGAUCUGAGUUCAGACCGGCGUGAGCCAGGUCAGUUUCUAUCUUCAAUUUUUAUAGUGGCCUUAGU